UUCAUUCUGGCCCUAAUAACCAUUUUGAAAACAUUAUGACUUUUAAGCUAUAGUAUGCAAAUUAUUAGAUAGAAUUGAUCAUGACAGAUUAUAAAGUGUCAUUUUCCAUAUCAUUCUGCAACUCUUUUCACAAAAUAUCUUACGAGUAAAAACACUCUUAAGUCUUGAACAUUUCAGUAUAACUUACGAUCAAAUUUAGUCGUAAGAUUUUUUGUGAAAACAGCCCCAGAGUAACAGUCAUCACCCAUCUGAAGCCUCCCAAGUUAGUGUCAAACUGAUAACACAGUUGAUAUGGAAAUUGACAAGUUUUAAUCAGUAAGAGACAGUUACUUUAUGAUAAUAACCAAUGUGUAUAGGACCACCAUCAUAUAUCAAACACACAACCAUUAUGUAUGUGCAUGCUCAAUGAACAGGAGUUAUCAAUAUUGGUGUUCCUUCCUUUUACAACCUAAAUGUUUGCACCAUGAACAUCAUUUAUAUAUACUAUGAUAACAAUGUGUAUGCUAUGAUGAUCUACUACUCGAGAAGUUUCAAAAUAAAAAUAGUGGUAAUUUUUUUCUUAAGGAAAGUCACAUGCAAAAAAAUGGUUAAUGAUUUAAACAGUUUAACUUCAUACUAUGAAAAGGGGCUACAUGUGCUUUUUAUACGACCGCAAAAAUUUUGUGGUCGUAUAUUGGUAUGACGUUGGCGUCGGUGUCGUCGUCCGGCGUCGUCGUCUGAAUACAUAUUGGUUUUCGCACUCUAACUUUAGUUUAAGUGAAUGGAUCUUUUUGAAAUUUGACCAUAAGGUUAAAUACCACAAAAGGAAGGUUGGGAUUGAUUUUGGGGGUUAUGGUACCAACAGUUAAGGAAUUAGGGGCCAAAAAUGAGCAUUUUCUAGUUUCCAGACAAUAACUGUGGAACGGUGUAUGGAUCUCUCUGAAAUUAUACUACAAGUUUCCAUACCACAAAGGGAUGGUUAGGAUUUGCUUUGGGGGGUUAUGGCUCAAACCGUUUAGGAAUUAGGGGCAAAAAAGGGGGAAAAACAAGGUUGUCCUGGUUAAUGGACAAAUACUUUAGUACAAAACAUAAUUUAGAGCAGUGUAAGGGAGAUAAAUCAAAUACAUCAUUGAAAUUAUCUCCCUUACACUGCUUUUAAAUUAUGUAUAAAGUAAUGGUUAAUGAACAAUAAAGAUAAUCUAAAACAGUGUAAGGGAGGUAAUCCAAAUACAACGUUUUGGUUACUUCCCUUACACUGCUUUUAAAUUAUGUUUAAAGAAAUGCAUAUUUAUAAAGGAAGACCAGUAAAAAUAUCUGCAAAUGUUUUCAUCUUUUUUUUUUACAAAAAAAUCCAUAUGAAAAAUUUGACACUAUAUUUUUAUUAAUUCUAUUAUAAAAUAGAUUAAGUUAGCACUAUGGUAAAUUUAAAUGGGUAAUUAUGGUUGCCAACUCCAUUGGAAAUUUGAAUUGAGAUUAUGACCAUAUCUUGAGGGAAAGAAUUUUUUUGGGGGAAAAAGGGGGGGGGGGGAUAAAAAGAAAUUGUGGGGGGCCAAUUUUUUCUCAUUUCAGAUUUCAGAAAUUAAAAAGAAUUAUUCUUCAAAUAUUAUUUUUUUUUCAAAUUUCAAAUAUUGAAAAAUUUCAAGAAGUAAUCUUUAAUUGCACAGUAUGGCGCAUAAGAUUUGUAAAAUCUUUGAUCACAUUUAUUUAUUUGUUAUGCGGAAUCUAACAGUGUAUUUAGAUUUUUAAUUUUGGGUCCAGUUUUCAAAUUGGUCUACAUUAAUGUCCAAAGGGUCCAAAAUUAAACUUUGUUUGAUUUUUGCAAAAAUUGAAUAUAUGAGGUUCUUUUGAUAUGCUGAAUCUAAACAUGUAUUUAGAUUUUUGAUUUUUGGCCCAGUUUUCAAGUUGGUCCAAAUUGGGGUCCAAAAUUAAACUUUGUUUGAUUUCAACAAAAAUUGAAUAUAUGGGGUUCUUUGAUAUGCUGAAUCUAACCAUGUAUUUAGAUUUUUUAUUUGUGGACCCCUUUAUCUAAUUGGUUCAUAUUGAGGUCAAAAGGGUCCAAAAUUAAACUUUGUUUGAUUUCAUCUAAAAUUGAAUUAUUGGGGUUCUUUGAUAUUCCAAAUCUAACCGUGUAUUUAGGUUUUUAAUUUUGGGUCCUGUUUUUGUCGAGCCUGCGACUUUUGUCGCAGAAAGCUCGACAUAGGGAUAGCGAUCCGGCGGCGGCGGCGGCGGCGUUAGCUAACUUCUUAAAAGCUUUAUAUUUUAGAAGGUGGAAGGUCUGGAUGCUUCAUACUUUGUAUAUGGAUGCCUCAUGUUACGAAGUUUCCGUCAGUCACAUGUCUAAUGUCCUUGACCUCAUUUUCAUGGUUCAGUGACUACUUGAAAAAAAAGUUAAGAUUUUUUGUAAUGUUAGAUUCUCUCUUAAUUUAAGUAAUAAGAUAACUAUAUUUGGUAUGUGCGUACCUUGCAAGGUCCUCAUGCCCGUCAGACAGUUUUCACUUGACCUCGACCUCAUUUCAUGGAUCAGUGAACAAGGUUAAGUUUUGGUGGUCAAGUCCAUAUCUCAGAUACUAUAAGCAAUAGGUCUAGUAUAUUCGGUGUAUGGAAGGACUGUAAGGUGUACAUGUCCAACUGACAGGUGUCAUCUGACCUUGACCUCAUUUUCAUGGUUCAGUGGUUAUAGUUAAGUUUUUGUGUUUUGGUCUGUUUUUCUUAUACUAUAUGCAAUAGUUCAACUAUAUUUGGUGUAUGGAAAUAUUUUAUGAUCUAUUUGGCAGUCACGCAGGUUUUAUUUGACCUUGACCUCAUUUUCAAGGUUCAUUGCUCAGUGUUAAGUUUUUGUGUUUUGGUCUGUUUUUCUUAAACUAUAAGCAAUAGGUCAACUCUAUUUGUUGUAUGGAAGAAUUGUUAGCUGUACAUGCCUGCCUAGCAUGGUUCAUCUGACCUUGACCUCAUUUACAUGGUUCAUUGGUCAAUGUUUAGUUUACUUGGUUAAUGUUAAGUUUAUGUGACAGUUGUAUUAAAGCUUUAUAUUUAGGACUAUCAACAUAAUAUCAAUGAUUAGUAAAGAAGGCGAGACAUUUCAGCGUGUGCACUCUUGUUUAAA